rfam:Triticum urartu cultivar G1812 contig1095175, whole genome shotgun sequence.
CCCCGCACAAAGCGUGCGGGGUCAUCUUCCGACUGCAACAAGGGGUCUGCCCGUG